UUCCUUCCUACAGAGCCCUACUGCAUGAGCUGAUAAACACUAAGACGCCGGAGGAUGCCGGUUCUCCAGAUUUAUGUGUACUGUAAUAAAGAACUCCUAAAAUUAGACUAUGCUUCAAGAUACAAAGGGAUUAUUAACGCACCCCACAUGGUGGGAUUUCAGGCACAGUGGAAGAGAUAUUUUGUGCCCUCCCUAGCAUCUCACAAAUCAUGCCACUGAGUGGUUCUCUACUGCCCUCAUACAUGAGCCACCAUACAUGGCUUGAUGUGAUCGAUGAAACCAGCCUGAAUGGAAAAGCUCCGUUGUGACAGAAGAUAUUUCUGCCCUUGCUUCUCCCCACUCCUCCUCCUGUCAGGAGAAGGUUCCCGUAAGUCACCCACCAGGAGGAGAGGGAACCCUGCUUCAUAAGCUCCUGGCUGUUCUGCUCUGAGGAAAUGUCAGGGGAAAGGACUGUCACCUGCCAGGCUUCAGCAUCAGAGGAGGGAGUGAUUCUCCCAUCCAUGGCUGGUACAUAGAACUGUCCAGUCUCAGGGUUGGAGAAAACGACGUAGUCUAAUUACCCGUCUCAGGAAUUUCGGAGGGCCUGGCUGAGUGGUUUACCUGUUUUACGUGAUGCGUCUGGGACAGCUGGACGACUCACUUCCAGUAGGGCUUUUCACUCACAUCUGGCCUGCUCCAUGCUCCUUGGGCUCUCUCUCCCCAUGUCGUGUCUCAUCUUUCAGGGUCUGCGCAUGUAGCUUGACCUUCUUACAGCCUGGUGGUCUCAGGGUAGCUGCAUUUCUUACAUGGCGGCUGGCUUCCAAGAGGCAAGAAGUGGAAGAAGCCAGGCCAAUCCAGGGCUACGCCAAGAACGGGCAGUGGAUCAUUUCUACCACAGGAUAGUGAUCAAAGCAGGCUGGAGUCCUUCUCGGCUGAAGGAGUGGAGAAGUAGACUCCACUACUGCUGGGGGAAUGGCAAGUUCACACUGCAGAAGAGCACGUGGAGCGGGAGACACUGAUUUGAUACAGCCAUCUCUGAAAAACCCAGCUUCAUGUCACACGGCACAUGUAAAUCCAAUCGUCUUGCAUCCCAGACUCCUUGGAGCAUAUCACCAGCAGUGGUAGAAAUGACAACUGUGAUGCCUCCCUUCAUCUUCUUAAGGCUACGAGGAACAGUGGCAUAAACAUGAAGUUCAUGAUGUGUCACCGCUAGAAGAGGUUCCUAAGUAAUAACUUGUGGAAAGCUUGCAAUUCUUAUUGAAUUUCCU
rnacentral:lncRNA from 1 species